rnacentral:rRNA from 1 species
GACGAACGCUGGCGGCGUGCUUAACACAUGCAAGUCGAACGAAGUGGCGAACGGGUGAGUAACGCGUAAUCAACCUGCCCUUCAGAGGGGGACACCAGUUGGAAACGACUGUUAAUACCGCAUACUGAAGGAGGGGAUUGCGUCUGAUUAGCUAGUUGGAGGGGUAACGGCCCACCAAGGCGAUGAUCAGUAGCCGGUCUGAGAGGAUGGACCGGCAAAAUGGGACUUAGGAACGGCCCAGACUCCUACGGGGGGCAGCAGGGGGGAAUCUUCCGCAAUGGAGGAAAGGCUGGCGGAGCAACGCCGCGUGAGUGGUGACGGCCUUCGGGUUGUAAAGCUCUGUUAAGCGGGACGCGGUACCGGAAUAGAAAGCCACGGCUAACUACGUGCCAGCAGCCGCGGUAAUAC